rnacentral:ribozyme from 12 species
ACCGUCAAAGGUAUAGUAAAGAAUUUGAUGAAAUACAAAGGAUUUUUAGCAUGGGAUCAGCCUCAUGAGUGUGUAAUUGAAAACUUGGUUAGGGAGUGUGUAGAAGUAAUUGAACGAAACCUU